rnacentral:rRNA from 1 species
GACGAACGCUGGCGGCGUGCUUAACACAUGCAAGUCGAACGGAAAGGCCCUGCUUUUGUGGGGUGCUCGAGUGGCGAACGGGUGAGUAACACGUGAGUAACCUGCCCUUGACUUUGGGAUAACUUCAGGAAACUGGGGCUAAUACCGGAUAGGAGCUCCUGCUGCAUGGUGGGGGUUGGAAAGUUUCGGCGGUUGGGGAUGGACUCGCGGCUUAUCAGCUUGCUGGUGGGGUAGUGGCUUACCAAGGCUUUGACGGGUAGCCGGCCUGAGAGGGUGACCGGCCACAUUGGGACUGAGAGACGGCCCAGACUCCAACGGGGGGCAGCAGUGGGGAAUAUUGCACAAUGGGCGGAAGCCUGAUGCAGCAACGCCGCGUGCGGGAUGACGGCCUUCGGGUUGUAAACCGCUUUCGCCUGUGACGAAGCGUGAGUGACGGUAAUGGGUAAAGAAGCACCGGCUAACUACGUG